GAUGAAGAACGUAGCGAAAUGCGAUAAGUAAUGUGAAUUGCAGAAUUCAGUGAAUCAUCGAAUCUUUGAACGCACCUUGCGCCCCUUGGUUAUUCCAAAGGGCAUGCCUGUUUGAGUAUCAUGAACACCUCAACUCUUGUGGUUUCCCACAAUGAGCUUGGACUGUGGAGGUUUUGUUGGCCCUGUGGUCAGCUCCUCUCAAAUGGAUCAGCUUACCGGUGUUUGGUGGCAUUACGGGUGUGAUAACUAUCUACGCUCCUGGUCGUCUCCAAAUAACCUCCAGUGAUGGAGGUUCGCUGGAGCUUAUAAAUGUCUCUCCCCAGUGAAGACAGCCUUUGAACGUUCGAUCUCAAAUCAGGUAGGACUACCCGCUGAACUUAAGCAUAUCAAUAAGCGGAGGA
rnacentral:misc_RNA from 1 species